GGUUUAUUUCUAAGGAAAAAUAUAAGACGGAAAGUCCUCAGGACGGAAAGACUAAAGGGCGGAAGGUCUUCAGGUCGGAAGGCCCUCAAGACGGAAAGUCCCCAGGACGGAAAGACCUCAGGUCGGAAGGUUUUUAGGUCGGGAGGUCCUCAAGACGGAAAGUCAUCAGGACGGGAAGUCCGCAGGUCGGGCGGAGUCUAAAAGAAAAAGGUGUACCCAAGUUGGGUAAACCGUAGAUCGGAUGGAAGGCGAAGUCGGGCAGACGCGGAGGUCUGUCAAGAGGAAGGUCGGGCAAGGAAGAGGUACGGACAGACGCGGAGGUCUUCGGUCAAAGACGGAGGGCGGCUGAUGCGGAGG